rnacentral:lncRNA from 1 species
GAAAAAACAUAAUCGGUCGACCUCUAGUACUGACUCACCCUCUUCCUGUUUGCAGCUUCCAAAAAACGAACUGCUCGUAAAUUACGUUUCUGGCGGGUUUGAAGUAAUUCUCCAAUGCAUCCAAUAUAGCCUUUGUAUCACACUGUUGUCGUGCUGUGAGGGUGAGAUUGUGCCGGUAGAUGUGCAGGUAGAUAUGCCUGCAUUCGCUGCCCAUUAAACUCCUCAGAGUUGCCGCUUGUACCUCGUUGGGUUUCUCAUGUAGACCGGUCGCCAGUGCAUAGUCCUCGAAUUCAUCCCUGAAGUUGUCCCAAUUAGUAUUCUAGUCCCCUGUGAGCACCAUGGGAUUUGGUGGCGGACUGUUUUCUGCCAUAGCGAAGGAAUAGGAGAUUUCUUUGCCUUCAGUCAUCGAGGUAGGUCGUGAUGCUAGCUAGCCAGUUAACAACAAGUUGAUCAGUGUUGUGACUAGGAGUAGGAAACGGCGUGUGUUCACAUAUGGAACGUAACUGCGCCUAUACAAAAAUAACAAACGUGUGGUUUUCGAGCCACUUCUAAUACCCUGUUUCAUUAUGAUAUGUUGAAUAAAGACAGACACCAAUGUCAAGUUCAAUAGCCUUGUUCAUGCAUUAUACAAAUCCCUACACGUGGAGUCCGGGGAACAGUCCGGCUAGUCGAUUACCUAUCAACUAGACUCCGUAACAGCCCCCUCCCGCCUCUGCUGUUGAAAGAUUGGCUGAACAGCUGUUGGGCUCGGCCUCUGCUGCUCUCUGCUUUAUAAAGCUGGAUACACCAGGCUCCGUCAAACAGAGCUAGAGAGAAGCUCCUGCUUGUUUAAUACACUGGUUCAGCGAAACUUUACUUUGAGAACUUCUGUCAACUGGUUCAGAGAAACUACUCCGCCAUCUGUUAGACUAGUCUAGACCCUCCGCAGCAGUAUGACUACCUUCGUCUCGGUGAGUUGUUUUGCACAGCAUCUUCAUUCAGCGCAGUCAUCAGCCUGACUCCGAAUAUACUGACACUGCGUUUUUGAUUCUGUUUCGUAUAACACCUAUGGAUGCAGUUUGCCUCAGGGAAAUGAUGGAUGUGUUGGUAUCAAAGGUUUGGGAUAUCAUUUGGGAUGUGCUUGUCAGUGAUGUUGUUUUUGGGGUGUCCUUUUCUCGGUUAACCCAGCACUAAAAUAUAAAAAUGUUUACGUAGUCUGUCAACGAGAGAUUAUGGGAGUUCUGACGUCAUUGGUUGGGGUAGAUGCCUUGAUUUCGUCAUCGUUCUGUUACUACAAGUGUAACACUUUGAUCUGCUGGAGUAAGGAUUUGCUCACGGGUGACUGACUGCCUGUUAUUUUUAUGUGCAGCAAGGCACGUUAUAGGCUGGUAACGUUUCAGUGGACCGUGUGACAGGCCCGUUGUGUGGCUGUUUAUAGUCCCAACUCAUAAAACGACCACACGCACUUUAAUCUUUCAGGCCACAAAGGGUUGUUGUCGGGCAGGACAGGCAGGGUUCCAGGAGAUGCCAAUCAUUGUCUUGGAUCACAGGAACAACAUUGUGACAUUGACUCCCAGUGGUUUAGUUUCAAGUGUGUAUUGCAGUUCCAAUGUCAUAUAGUAAACAUAUUAGGCAAGAUGUCAUAGGCUUUGCAUGUGCCUCAUUGCAUUUGAUUUAUGUGCACACAAUAUUUAAUGGAAAAGCUCAACGAGGAAAUAUUUGAAAUGCUGAGUGACUGAGUGACAGUCUUGAGCAGGGGUUGGAACCAAAAUAUUUUUCUAAUCGUUUAGUUUUGAACAACCUUUUUUUUCCAACCAGCAAAAUGAAGUUCUGAACUGGUUCAAUCAAAAAAGAUGGCUACCUGCCACACCUAUAACAACACGUCCAGGCACAACGCUGUCAACAGGGACUUCAUGGCCGCUCUCUCCAAGAACCACGGGAGCACAGGAAAACGCAACAGUCCCCAGUCCACCAACAGAACCAAUGCCAUAGGCAUGCCAAAGUCUGCCCCCAAUGACAAGACACCCUGCAGUAUGCCAAGGUCGAUAUCCUCUGAGACCACCAGUUCCUCCUUGGCCUCCAAGCCCGCCAGUGUGAAGAAGUCUGCCUUGUCCCACCUCAAGAGGUUCCUCAUGCUGGAAGACAACCAGAAGACCAAGACCAAGGGGAGGACUCCGACUUACACUCCUCCUUCUGAAGACUGACAAACACUUGGCUCCACUGCAAUGACCAACAGUCAGCCAUUACACCACCAUGAUAUGACACUGACGCACCAGGCUCUCUCUGGCCUGCUUGCAAUUCAGAAUUGUCCUCUUGGAAUUCAGAACAACGGGGGAUGGGUCAGCAGUCAGUCAAUAAGUGAUACAGGGCCUCCUGUUGCACUAACUUUAAAAAAUAUAUAUUUUUUUUUACUUCCCAUGCCCCCCCCUCCCCCCAACUACCCCUGAGGUCCCCCUUCUGUAGAGCUGUUCAAACAUUAAUUGUCCCACACCACGGCAUCAUUCAGGAAUUCCAUUGUCCCUAUGAAUGGCGGGAACGGCAUCGGAAGCAAAGCUCCCCCUUUUCUUCCAUGUUAUUUAUGACGAGGCAAGCAGAAUAACUCAUUUCAAGUUAUAGGAUGUUUUGAUUGAGAGGAUGAUUUUAUUUAUUUGUUACAAUCACAUUUAUAUGAUAAAUGACAUACACAUUUAUAUUCAUGCUUAAGUUUCAUGCUUCUUGAAGUAUGUUUUUACUUGGUUGUCAUUUAUUUUCGUAGACUUAACUUUAUCUCACUCUUCUCUUGUGAGGUUACCAGCCAAGUAGAGCUGCUCUGUAGCUGUUUACAGGUUUGUUUGUGUGGCUCUACUAUUUUAUGAUCACUGCCAAAUGUUUUACUUUUAUGUAAAGGUCAAAUUUUUAUGUACUGGUGGUUUUGAGAUCAUAUUUGGCUGAAUGGGACGCAUCAACUGGUAACAUUGAUAUCGUUUAUAUGCCUGAACUUUAAUGACAAUGCAAACGUGACUUUCUUUCAGUAGUUUCAUGUUUGUUGAAGAUGGGUUUUGCUGUUUGAAGGCUUCAGUUUUUACCUGUUAGUUUUGAAAUUAUUAUAUAUAUUUUUUCAACGUUAGUUUAACAAUGUCUAUUAGACUGCUUUUGUUCCAACACACUUUCUAUUGUAUUUAGUGACAUGUUUAAUUAAUCCAAUGUGUGGGUCUGUAGCAUUUCACAGAAUACUGAAAUACCUCACAUUUUAUAUUCCUUUUACACCUUGCUUCUGUGAAAUAAAAAUGUUUUCUGGGCUUCUUAUUACUGUGUUACAUUAUAGAACUCCAAGAAGAUAUGUCAGUGUUGCAAUGCGAUCACGAUACUUAUCAAAAGUAUAAGUAACUUUUAAUUCCUUUAAGCAAACCAGACGGUGCCAUUUUGUUAUUCAUGGCUCACCAGGAGCACACUCCAACACUCGGACAUAAUUUACAAAUUGUGUGUUUAGUGAGUCCGUCAGCUCAGAGGCAGUAUGGAUGACCAG